CAGGGUGACAGGUGGUGCAUGGUUGUCGUCAGCUCGUGUCGUGAGAUGUUGGGUUAAGUCCCCGCAACGAGCGCAACCCUCGCCUCUAGUUGCCAGCAUUCGGUUGGGCACUCUAGAGGGACUGCCGGCGACAAGUCGGAGGAAGGUGGGGAUGACGUCAAAUCAUCAUGCCCCUUAUGACCUGGGCUACACACGUGCUACAAUGGGCGGUACAAAGGGCUGCGAACCCGCGAGGGGGAGCGAAUCCCAAAAAGCCGCUCUCAGUUCGGAUUGCAGGCUGCAACUCGCCUGCAUGAAGCCGGAAUCGCUAGUAAUCGCGGAUCAGCAUGCCGCGGUGAAUACGUUCCCGGGCCUU
rnacentral:rRNA from 1 species